UGGGGAAUUUUGCACAAUGGGGGAAACCCUGAUGCAGCGACGCCGCGUGAUUUAGAAGGCCUUCGGGUUGUAAAAAUCUUUUUUAUGGGAUGAAAAUGACAGUACCAUAAGAAUAAGGUCCGGCUAAAUACGUGCCAGCAGCCGCGGUAAUACGUAGGGCGCAAGCGUUAUCCGGAAUUAUUGGGCGUAAAGAGCUUGUAGGCGGUUCGUCGCGUCUGGUGUGAAAGCCCAUCGCUUAACGGUGGGUUUGCGCCGGGUACGGGCGGGCUAGAGUGCAGUAGGGGAGACUGGAAUUCCCGGUGUAACGGUGGAAUGUGUAGAUAUCGGGAAGAACACCAAUGGCGAAGGCAGGUCUCUGGGCUGUUACUGACGCUGAGAAGCGAAAGCGUGGGGAGCGAACAGG
rnacentral:rRNA from 1 species